AAUCUGUAGAUGCAGUCCAGCAACGAGCCCCACGCAAUAAAAAAAACGUGCGAGCUAAUCUGAGGGAACAAGACCUAAUUUAGUGUCGCAAACGAAGAAAUUGCCUCAAAACAUUCGUGUUAUGAUAAACAUAACACGGUUAAGGGACAGAGUGCGUUUGCUUAAAAACAUUAAAAAAAAUAGAAAAGAUGUUGCAGUACUAAAGGGUCUGAAAUAUCAUGAAAAAAUCAAAAUCAGACGAGUGAGCCUGCAAAUAAAUUGAUAUUCGCAAGUAUAUAAAUAUAAUUGAUUUGAACCGUAGUUUUCACAAAGUUCAAUCAAGAAGCUGACUUGCGUUUUAUACUAGAUCUAUAAUCUUUUGCGAUUGAUACUAAGCUAGAUCAAUGAAAAUUAGAAAAU
rnacentral:lncRNA from 1 species